UACGUAGGUGGCGAGCGUUGUCCGGAUUUACUGGGCGUAAAGAGCGCGCAGGCGGUCGUUCAAGUCGCGUGUGAAAGCCCCCGGCUCAACUGGGGAGGGUCACGCGAUACUGAUCGACUCGAAGGCAGGAGAGGGAAGUGGAAUUCCCGGUGUAGUGGUGAAAUGCGUAGAUAUUGGGAGGAACACCAGUGGCGAAGGCGGCUCACUGGACUGGUACUGACGCUGAUGCGCGAAAGCGUGGGGAGCAAACAGG
rnacentral:rRNA from 1 species